GUGCUCUUCAGGCAGCACAUACACUAAAGCUGGAAUGAUACAGAGACUAGCAUGGCCCCUGCAUGAGAUGACACACGAAUUCAUUGCUGCAUAUUUUU
rfam:Felis catus isolate Cinnamon breed Abyssinian chromosome F1, whole genome shotgun sequence.